rnacentral:rRNA from 1 species
AGUGAACGCUGGCGGUAGGCCUAACACAUGCAAGUCGAACGGCAGCACAGUAAGAGCUUGCUCUUACGGGUGGCGAGUGGCGGACGGGUGAGGAAUACAUCGGAAUCUACUUUUUCGUGGGGGAUAACGUAGGUAAACUUACGCUAAUACCGCAUACGACCUACGGUUGAAAGCAGGGGAUCUUCGGACCUUGCGCGAUUGAAUGAGCCGAUGUCGGAUUAGCUAGUUGGCGGGGUAAAGGCCCACCAAGGCGACGAUCCGUAGCUGGUCUGAGAGGAUGAUCAGCCACACUGGAACUGAGACACGGACCAUAGUCCUGCGGGAGGCAGCAGUGGGGAAUAUUGGACAAUGGGCGCAAACCUGAUCCAGCCAUACCGCGUGAGUGAAGAAGGCCUUCGGGUUGUAAAGCCCUUUUGUUGGGAAAGAAAAGCAGCAGGUUAAUACCCCGCUGUUCUGACGGUACCCAAAGAAUAAGCACCGGCUAACUUCGUG